rnacentral:rRNA from 1 species
GAUGAAUGCUGGCGGCGUGCCUAACACAUGCAAGUCGAGCGGCAGCGCGGUCUUCGGACCGGCGGCGAGCGGCGGACGGCUGAGUAACGCGUGGGAACAUACCCCAAAGUGAGGGAUAACCGCCCGAAAGGGUGGCUAAUACCGCAUAUGGUCUUCGGAUUAAAGGAUUUAUCCGCUUUGGGAAUGGCCUGCGUACGAUUAGAUAGUUGGUGGGGUAAAGGCCUACCAAGUCUACGAUCGUAAACUGGUCUGAGAGGAUGAUCAGUCAGACUGGAACUGAGACACGGUCCAGACUCCUACGGGAGGCAGCAGUGAGGAAUCUUCCACAAUGGGCGAAAGCCUGAUGGAGCAACGCCGCGUGCAGGAUGAAGGCCUUCGGGUCGUAAACUGCUUUUAUGAGUGAAGAAUAUGACGGUAACUCAUGAAUAAGCACCGGCUAACUACGUGCCAGCCGCCGCGGUAA